UUGUAUUUUACCUGGGGUGGUUUGCUGCAGAGGCAGGAAGUGAAAUGUUAUCGAGCCCUGAGCGUGAAUGAAAACUGUCUUCAGGACUUACAGAAAACACUAUGCAUCCUCCCGCUCCAGCAGCACUGAACAACCUGAAGUGAUAGCGGGUUUAAAA